ACACGACUACAUUAGAUACCCGCGUAGUCCCAGCCCUAAACGAUGCGCGUUAGGUGUAUCGGUGACCACGAGUCACCGAGGUGCCGAAGGGAAACCGUGAAACGUGCCGCCUGGGAAGUACGGUCGCAAGGCCGAAACUUAAAGGAAUUGGCGGGGGAGCACCACAACGGGUGGAGCCUGCGGUUUAAUUGGACUCAACGCCGGGAAGCUCACCGGAUAAGACAGCGGAAUGAUUGCCGGGCUGAAGACCCUGCAUGACCAGCUG
rnacentral:rRNA from 1 species